UAGAGUUUGAUCCUGGCUCAGAACGAACGCUGGCGGCAGGCCUAACACAUGCAAGUCGAACGAGAAGCCACCUUCGGGUGGUGGACAGUGGCAGACGGGUGAGUAACGCGUGGGAACGUGCCUUUCGGUUCGGGAUAACCCAGGGAAACUUGGGCUAAUACCGGAUACGCCCUUCGGGGGAAAGAUUCAUUGCCGAAAGAUCGGCCCGCGUCGGAUUAGCUAGUUGGUGGGGUAAAAGCCUACCAAGGCGACGAUCCGUAGCUGGUCUGAGAGGAUGACCAGCCACACUGGGACUGAGACACGGCCCAGACUCCUACGGGAGGCAGCAGUGGGGAAUAUUGGACAAUGGGCGCAAGCCCKRWYCCAGCCAUGCCGCGUGGGUGAAGAAGGCCUUAGGGUUGUAAACCCCUUUCAGCGGGGAAGAUAAUGACGGUACCCGCAGAAGAAGUCCCGGCUAACUCCGUGCCAGCCGCCGCGGUAAUAC
rnacentral:rRNA from 1 species